UUAAAUUUUGUAAAAUUGGUUUGCCAAUUCUCUAUUUGGAAACUUGACAUAUGUGAAUAUAAAACUCUAUUUUUCAGUUUUCUUUUAAAACUCUUUAAGAAACUAUCGUAGUUUUCUACAAGUGAAUAUGCCCUUAAAAUUUCCACUCCAUUUCUCUGUCCUCCCAAUUUCCCUGCUUUUCCCAAACAUAGUAUUAAUGUAUUACUCUCCCUCCCUCCCUUUAUCCAGCCAAAUUAUAGCAGGAAAUUAUUCUGUCUGGGUUUUACGAAGCUUUUUUUUCUUGGUGCAAUUUUCAUUUGGGAGGCAUAUAUGUGGUUUGUUACUUGUUUUUAUUGGCAUCUUUAUACUCUUGAACUUCAUUGUGUGGUUUGUGUACAUCCAUGCAACUUGAAUCAUUGAAUUGCUAUCAUAAUUGCCACUGCUCGCCAAAGCCUAAACCAUGGUGUCAUUUCUAAAUUUGACUCAUUUAUUUUUCUUUCUUUCAUGUAAUGCUAACAACAGUAUCUUUUAAUUCGCAGGGUAUCAUAGAUCUGGCAUUU
rnacentral:misc_RNA from 1 species